AUCGAACGCUGGCGGCAUGCUUUACACAUGCAAGUCGAACGGUAACAGGCCGCAAGGUGCUGACGAGUGGCGAACGGGUGAGUAAUGCAUCGGAACGUGCCCAGUCGUGGGGGAUAACGCAGCGAAAGCUGCGCUAAUACCGCAUACGAUCUAUGGAUGAAAGCGGGGGACCGUAAGGCCUCGCGCGAUUGGAGCGGCCGAUGUCAGAUUAGGUAGUUGGUGGGGUAAAGGCUCACCAAGCCGACGAUCUGUAGCUGGUCUGAGAGGACGACCAGCCACACUGGGACUGAAACACGGCCCAGACUCCUACGGGAGGCCGCAGUGGGGACUUUUGGACAAUGGGGGCAACCCUGAUCCAGCAAUGCCGCGUGCAGGAAGAAGGCCUUCGGGUUGUAAACUGCUUUUGUACGGAACGAAACGGCUCUGGUUAAUACCUGGGGCUAAUGACGGUACCGUAAGAAUAAGCACCGGCUAACUACGUGCCAGCCGCCGCCGUAACAC
rnacentral:rRNA from 1 species